rnacentral:rRNA from 1 species
UACGUAGGGUGCAAGCGUUGUCCGGAAUUAAUUGGGCGUAAAGAGCUCGUAGGCGGUUUGUCGCGUCUGCUGUGAAAACCCGAGGCUCAACCUCGCGCCUGCAGUGGGUACGGGCAGACUAGAGUGCGGUAGGGGAGAUUGGAAUUCCUGGUGUAGCGGUGGAAUGCGCAGAUAUCAGGAGGAACACCAAUAGCGAAGGCAGCUCGCUGGACGGUACUGACGCUAAGGCGCGAAAGCGUGGGGAGCGAACAGG